CCUUCGAUAGCUCAGUUGGUAGAGCGGUGGACUGUAGAGGCUGUUUCAGAUAUCCAUAGGUCACUGGUUCGAAUCCGGUUCGAAGGA
rnacentral:tRNA from 1 species